CAAGCGUUGAGGUGAAAUAAAGUCUUAGCCUUGCUUUUGAGUUUUGGAAGAUGAGCGAAGUAGGGUGAAGUAGUCAUCUUUGCUAAGCAUGUAGAGGUCUUUGUGGGAUUAUUUUUGGACAGGGGUUCGAUUCCCCUCGCUUCCACCA
rnacentral:tmRNA from 1 species